CCGCUUAGAGUUCCACUCAGCUCACCUCAUGUACCUUCCAGUGUCAGGUCCUGCAGCCCAGGCCUCAGCUUACAGAACGAACUGCUGAGAGGAAGAACGAGAAGACUGGCAGAGAGAGGACAGCACUAGGGGCAGAAAGAAGUCCUGUAAAUGGAUAUGGACUUUGAGGACGUGGCCAUUGCCUUCUCUCAGGAGGAGUGGGGGCUCCUUGUUGAGGCUCAGAGACUUCUGU